UUUCCCAAGCCCUUACGUCUCUGGUCUCUUUUGCUUAAAUUCGAAACACAACCUUGCUCCAUAAAUCUUCCGGAUUGCUGAAAUUUCACCCACUCCGUUAUCAAUCAAGGUUUGCUCAAUAUCUUGAGCAAGCAACCACCUUUAAUUCCCUUUUUUUCUAGUAAAGGAUAUCUCUUGUCUCUUUCCCUGUUGCAUUAGAUGUUGGCUUUUGGUUUUGUUCUCUUGUUUUCCUGGUUACUCCUAAUUUUAAGUUCUUGUAAUGGGAUUUAGGACUUUUUAAGUUGUACCUUUCACUGCUCUCUUGUGUAAUUUUGUCAAUAAUAUGAAUUAAAUUGGUACUUUCUAAAGAAAA